rnacentral:lncRNA from 1 species
UGAUAGCCCGUGCGGCCGUGCGUUGCUAAAAUUUGAACAAAAUAAUAGUUUUAAAAAAAUGCAUACGUACGGUCAAACCCAUGCAAGGUUACGCAUACGUACGGUACCGUACCCGAUGUGCAUAGUAUAGGUAUACGCAUACUGCUUGGCCUCACUUAAGCCCAUUUUUAUAACACCAGAAACCCACUAAAAAAACGUGUAAAUUCAAAUUUUCCAACUGGGGCCUAGUGGAAGCUACAAUGUGAGACAAGCAGAUAAUGAGCUGUACCACCAACCAAAUUCAUAUUUCUCUGUACAAGAAACGUUUACAAAAUGUUAAGAUCAUCAGCUAACAUCCUAAAAUAAGCAACUGAGUGCUUAUGAUGCAGCAUUCCUUACUUAUUACAAAAUUUCCAGGCUGUAAGAAACAUUUGCAGCACUUUAUUUCAAUCAAAGUACAAAAGAAAAAGGGCAAUAUUAGCUCAAGCUGACAGGGAAACAGCCAUUUCUAUCAUACACCUUCGCUGGUUCGCUAACAUGGAUUUAUAAGAAACUGCUAGCCAUACUCGACCGUGUAUUUCCAAAAUUCCAUUCGGUUUCUGUCGGCAACAGGAAUCCUUCCUCUGAGAAUGCAUGAAAAAUAAAUGAAAUUUGAAGACAUUCAUUCAGGGUAGCAUUUAGGAGGUUUUUGCUAAUCUCAAGAGUCCAGACUCUUAACUAGUGGCGUGAAAGAUUAAAAAAAACAUUAAAAUAAACCAUGAAAAGAAAAAAUCCCGAUCACCUAAAUAAGAUUCAUCAAUUGAGGUGUUAAACUGUUGUUAACAAAAAUAAGUUUAAGACAGUAGUGCCACUCUCUCUGAGAUAAGCAAAGAAGAAAAUUAGCUUCCAGUGGUAAUAUAAAAGAACUAUCUGCUUACCUCCUAUGUAAAAUGAUAUCACUGCUUAGUUGCAACCUCAUCUUUAGAUUCUACCUGAAAUUGCAAGGGCAAAAGGUGUAAUCAAACAUAUAAAAUACAAGAGUAAUAACAAUUCUAGUUGAAAGCAAAUUAUUCUCAAAACAUAUAUUUUCCCAGUAAAUAUGCCAGUAUGCCAAAGUAAAAUUGUGUUUCAGGANNNN